UAUGUAAUGUCACGGUCAAUGUGGCAACUCAUGAAGCAAAUCCAGAGCCAUGGCUUCCCGCCAGAAGUGGAGGAGCAGGAUGUUGGCACUCUGCCCAUGUCUUGUGCCCAGGAGAGGGGGAUGGACCGUCACCCUGCAGCCUGUGCUUCUGCUAGUAUCAAUGUAUAGAUGCCAUUCUUAUAGCUCUUACCUGCAAGUUUAGCUUGAGUUACGGCAUUGGGGAGACCAUUUAACUUAAUUACUGCUAGUUUGGAAUGUCUUUGUAAGAGUAGGGUUGGCACCAAUGCAGUAUGGAAAGACUAGGAGAUUGGGGUCACACUUACUGUGUUCCUAUGGAAACUUUGAAUAUUUUAUAUGGAUUUUUAUUCACUUUUCAGACCUGAUACUAAUGAGUGCCCCUCGGCUGCUGAGCAAGCAUUUGUAGCUUGUACAUUGGCAGAAUGGGCCAAAAGCUUAUGUUGUGACCCAUUUUGAAAAUAAAGUAUCUUGAAAUGAUUGGGAAAAAAAAAUAAAAAA
rnacentral:lncRNA from 1 species